rnacentral:tRNA from 1 species
UCCCAUGUGGCUCAGUUGGUAGAGCAUGGCACUUGCAACGCCAGGGUUGUGGGUUCGUAUUCCCACGGGGGAC